CCGCCAGGCUCCUCAGUCCAUGGGAUUCCCCAGGCAAGAAUACUGGAGUGAGUCGCCAUGCCCCCCUCCAGGGGAUCUUCCCAACCUAUGACUGAACCUGCAUCUCUUGUGUCUCCUGCAUUGCAGGCGAGUUCUUUCCCAUGUAUUCCAGUCAUCAGCAUGUACCGUGAACACUUCCUCCCUGGCUUCUGCUCCCACCUCCUUCCAGCACAUUCCUCCCCAACAGUGUGUCACUGAGGAGGGAGGUGUGGUGGAUCAGUAUCUUCACUGGGGCUUCAGUGCACCCUCCGGCCCAGAGGCUAGUGCCUGGGUCCUGCCCGCUGGGCACCGCUGCAGUUUCUCAAAUGCCUUUCGACACUUACUGCAGGAUGACCUUUGAGCACUGGUGCAAACGCUCAGUCUAUUUUUUCCCAGCCUUGGGGACUGGCCUGCUGUCUCAGUUUCAGCUUCCCAUGUAUUUACUGCCUGCAGAAGGUUGGCGUUCAGCCACCCACUCCUGGAUCUCACAGUGGUCAUCAGUCGUCCCUUAUUCCAGAGCAGUAGUUCUUGACAGUGGAAAUACUGAAAAGCACAGAACGGUGCUUCUAGAAUGUCAACUCUGUGAGGACAGGCACACUCUGCUUUUGCUCAGCUUUGGAUUAUCUGGAUCCACAAUUCCAAGAAUGGUGCCUGGCACACAGGAAAUGCUCAUCAGGAAGUGCAUUCUGAACGAAUAGGUGUGAAAUGUGAGCGCCUAGAGGAAACAGCCAGGACGUGAGUAUAGCACUUGUCUUUGGGUGGUAGGACUGUUCUGGUUUUUCUGUAAGGUUGUACAGAGAAACCCGAAGGAACUUUUUGGCCAACCCAAUAUAAUAUAUGAUAAGCAGACAAGGGGCCUGUUUACUUGCAGUCAUGUGACCUUGGGUAAGUUGCUUCUCCUUUCUGUGCCUAAGCUUCCCCAUCAACAUGAAUACCUCCCUUGGCUGUUAGGAAGGUUAAAUGAGAUCAUGCCUGUAGAUAGGGAACCUCUGGUGCUGGGGACACAGGAAGCACUCGAUCAACAUCACACCGUCACUUUGUUGUUGUCAUCGUUUGGUCCUGAUCGUGAUCGGACAUUUCCGUGGAUACCUGGAGGCUUGCCUCGAAGGCUUCGAGAGAAGAGGUAGUUGUGGGGAGGACAGAGAACCUGGCUUGCAACGAGCUGACCUGCUGUUUCCUGGCCAAGUGACUGCAGUCAGGGGCAGUAACUUCUGAGCCACUGUUCUUUCUGCACCACAGAGACUUUUGUGUGAAUCAAUAAGAUGUGAUGAUGUCAGGUUCCAACCAGGAGAUGUAUGUGUACCAAUGCACAGAAAAGGUCCUGGAGGAAACACAGCAAACCAUGGCAGCAGUUUCUAGUGGGGAACUAGAAGAGGUGGAUAAAAGAAAGAAGCUCUUAUUACUUUCUAUCUACUGGGUUGUGUUGGGAUGUUUUACAAAGAGAAUAUAUCUACUUCUUACAAGAGUGGAGAACAAAAAACUGGAGACAAUAAAAAGAUCUGUGGUUGCCAGGGUUUGGUGGGAGGGAAAAUGGAAUAAGGGGAUUGCAGAGUUUUAAGGCAAUGAAAAUGCUCUGUAUGUUACCAUAAUGGUGGGUCCAUAUC
ensembl:lncRNA